ACACCGGCGGCCCGAGUGGUGAUCGUGAUUAUUGGGUCUAAAGGGUCCGUAGCCGGUUUGGUCAGUCCUCCGGGAAAUCUGAUAGCUCAACUAUUAGGCUUUCGGGGGAUACUGCCAGACUUGGAACCGGGAGAGGUAAGAGGUACUACAGGGGUAGGAGUGAAAUCUUGUAAUCCCUGUGGGACCACCUGUGGCGAAGGCGUCUUACCAGAACGGGUUCGACGGUGAGGGACGAAAGCUGGGGGCACGAACCGGAUUAGAUACCCGGGUAGUCCCAGCCGUAAACGAUGCUCGCUAGGUGUCAGGCAUGGCGCGACCGUGUCUGGUGCCGCAGGGAAGCCGUGAAGCGAGCCACCUGGGAAGUACGGCCGCAAGGCUGAAACUUAAAUGAAUUGGCGGGG
rnacentral:rRNA from 1 species